AGAAUUAUUUCAAUGUGAAAAUGGAUUACAGUGAAAUACUUGAUUUUAGUACCAACGGGGAGACCAAACUCGAAAUUUUGAAAUUUUCGUAUAAUUGGGCUGAGGAAGUUGAACGUCAAGAGAAGAUGAAGGUGCAGGCUUUUGAAGCAGAGGAAGAAGAGAGAAAGAAGGCUGUGCUGGGCAUUAUGAAAAAAGUUCAUCG